AAAACCAUUUCCCACGAUCCAUCUGUCUUAAGAUUUCCUCUUUUUCUUUUUUCUCACUUUCUUCCUCUUUCUUUUUGAUCUCCUCUAAUUUCUGAAAUGGGUCAAUAAACAC
rnacentral:ribozyme from 13 species